GCCUGGGUGGCUCAGUUGGUUAAGCAUCUGAUUUCAGAUCAGGUCAUGAUCUCACACUUCAUGAGUUCAAGCCCCACUUCCGGCU
rnacentral:tRNA from 1 species